AGUGGAUGGGGAGCAACCUAGUUGUGCGUGUGUAAAGGUAGUGCCAAGAAAAGCGAUGAUCAUGUUGAAAAUCAAUUCCCGGUACCCGAAACCGACACAGGUGGGCAAGUAGAGAAUACUAAGGGGCGCGAGGUAACUCUCUCCAAGGAACUCGGCAAAAUGACCCCGUAACUUAGGGAGAAGGGGUGCCACCGAGAGGUGGUCGCAGUGAAGAGGCCCAGGCGACUGUUUAGCAAAAACAUAGGUCUCUGCAAACUCGAAAGAGGAGGUAUAGGGGCUGACGCCUGCCCAGUGCCGGAAGGUUAAAGAAGUUGGUCAGUUUUAGGAUGAAGCUAGCGACUGAAGCCCCGGUGAACGGCGGCCGUAACUAUAACGGUCCUAAGGUAGCGAAAUUCCUUGUCGGGUAAGUUCCGACCCGCACGAAAGGCGUAACGAUCUGGGCGCUGUCUCGGAGAGAGGCUCGGCGAAAUAGGAUUGUCUGUGAAGAUACGGACUACCUGCAUUUGGACAGAAAGACCCUAUGAAGCUUUACUAUAGCUUGGAAUUGUGUUCGGGCUUCCUGUGCGCAGGAUAGGUGGGAGGCGUAGAAGGUAUUCUCGUGGGGAUACUGGAGCCAACGGUGAGAUACCACUCUCAGGAGGCUAGAAUUCUAACUUAAUUAAGGACAGUUUCAGGUGGGUAGUUUGACUGGGGCGGUCGCCUCCAAAAAGGUAACGGAGGCGUACAAAGGUUCCCUCAGACUGGUUGGAAAUCAGUCGAAGAGUGCAAAGGCAGAAGGGAGCUUGACUGCGAGAAGUACAGUUCGAGCAGGGUGGAAACACGGUCUUAGUGAUCCGACGGUGCUGUGUGGAAGGGCCGUCGCUCAACGGAUAAAAGUUACUCUAGGAUAACAGGCUGAUCUCCCCCAAGAGUUCACAUCGACGGGGAGGUUUGGCACCUCGAUGUCGGCUCAUCGCAACCUGGGGCGGAAGUACGUCCCAAGGGUUGGGCUGUUCGCCCAUUAAAGCGGUACGUGAGCUGGGUUCAGAACGUCGUGAGACAGUUCGGUCCAUAUCCGAUGUAGGCGUGAGAAUAUUGAGAGGAGCCUUCCUUAGUACGAGAGGACCGGGAAGGACGCACCGCUGGUGUACCUGUUAUGAUGCCAAUUGUAAACGCAGGGUAGCCAAGUGCGGAGAGGAUAACCGCUGAAAGCAUCUAAGUGGGAAGCCCACCUCAAGAUGAGUAUUCUGGUGUAAGGUCACGGGAAGACGACCCGUAAAUAGGCACGAGGUGGAAGUGCAGAGAUGUAUGAAGCCGAAGUGUACUAAUAGACCGUCGGCUUGACC
rnacentral:rRNA from 1 species